rnacentral:snoRNA from 1 species
GGUCCAAAAAAAAUUCCUCUUUUGCAACCCAGAACUCGUUGUUCAGUAUGAGUUUUGACACAUAGAAGAAGGAAUAUG